rnacentral:lncRNA from 1 species
GUCUCCUGGCCCAGUCGCCGCCCCGGUGCGUCUCUCCCCAGCUCCGGCGGCUUGGUCACUGCUCCUGGCUGUUGGCUGAGCUCUGGAAGCCCCCUCGCCUUAAUGCAGCGCCCGCUGACGUCACUGCGGCCUGCGACCAAUCAGCGCCUCGCGGUCCCUCUGUAAACCAUUCUGCAUCCCCCGGCCCGGGAGAGUGCGGGGAGACCGCGUUUAGAGGAUCAGUGGCGGCGGCACCCGCGGCCCCGCGCGGCGCGGACGGCGGGCAGCACCGUGCCUGGGCCCCCUCCUGCUCCGGUUCCAGAAUGACGCUCGGCCCAUGGACAGAGCCUGCCCAGUCACUCUCGGCUGCUAUUGAUCCCGAGGAUGAUGGCCGCCCCUAGCCAUUUCCCUCCUCUCUCUUCGGUUCCAGAACAGCCCAAGGAGCAGAAAAGAGUGACAAGGCCGUGAAAGGAGGCGCCUGGGGCGUAGCCGGCUCUAGGAGGUUACCCCAUGCGGAGUACACACCCUGCUACACCCAUCCCGGAGGAGGGAGGAAAUAGCCAGCCCGGAGCACCCCUGGACUCUGCCGGUCCCAGAGGCCACGCAAACUCCGCCCAGACUCGGUGAGGCCGCGGUAAUGCCACGCAGGGAACUGCGUGGAUAAGGUCGCUCGGAUCUGAGCGCCAAGGUCUCCCGCCUCUCCUUCCCGUCUAGUUCUCUCCGGACUCAAAUUGCCUUAAUCUCACCCAUCACUCUCUCAUGGAAAUGAUCUACUCGUGUGCAGUACUUCACAGCUUGUAUCACGGUCUCCCCUGAACCGUAUAGCAAGAGGGUGGUGGGGGGUGGAAGAGAAGGGUACUAUCUCCACUUUCCCGGCCAGGAGGCCCAAGUUAGGAGGCUUGUCCGAGAUCCCUAGGUCAGAGCACUAUUUAAGGUGAGAAGUUGGGUGGGGAGCUUGGCACCUUGCUCCAGUGUGCACUUUGCGCCUGGCCAUGUUUUAUAAGCAAGGGGGGCUUGGGCUGGUUAAGGGGGAGCAGGGACCGCAGGGCCAGGAAAGGGCAGCAUCCGGCAGGCCGGGGCGUCACGGUAUGUGCCUGGCCUGGGUAAACAACUCUGGCUUCCCACGAGCGCUGGAGGGACCCUGGGCAUGGGGCAGGGGCGUGGGGGAGGGGGGGCAGGGGCGUGGGGUGGGGCAGGGAGCGGGUGGAACAGCGAGGUCAAGCGUGGAGAUUCCAGUUGCGAGUCAGCUCCGCGCCGCGGAGCAAAGACAGGACGUGGAUAAUCUUGGGAGGGAGACGCUGAGCUGAAGAACAGAAAAGAGAGACAGAGGCAGAAGUGAGGAGAGAGGGACAGGAAAAGAAAAUAAAGGCAGAAAACCAGAGAAAAGAUGAGACGGAGUGCGGAAAAGCAGGCGGGGAUAAAGAAAGGAAAGAUCUGUCGGGGAAAUGCGGGGAGAAGUGGAGGAAAAGAAACAGAAAUUAGACCCAGAGAGAGACCCUGCCACGAAGAAGGCCGCGGGGACGGGCGCGGAGCCGAGGGCCCUGCAGGCACGGAGGGGGCGUCCCGCGGGUCUGGGGGUGUGCGGCUUUGGGACAGGCGAGUGCGUGCUGAGAGAAAGAGGCAGCGUGUUUGGUGGGAGACUCUGCGCCCGUGGAAAAGCGGCUCUGGGCAGGAAUCCAACAAAUAAAUAAAACGUCUAAGACGGCGUGACAACAAUGUGUAUUUGGGUGCGUGCCCGUGUUCCUCUGUCUGAACACCCAGUAAGGAAGACAAACGGGGCUCGUGCCUCACAGUAAUUAAUCCUCUCACUAAUUGACUCUCUCCCCUUACCUAAUGGCGGUGGUCACUGCCGAUAUCUGGAGAGACAUCAAGUUGGGGGAGACAGAGAGAGAGAACCCCAAAGCUAACGACCUUUGGGACUGAGAUUGAGUUUUUUCUGGACUUGGCAGCUCUAAGCCCUGCCCCCACCUCCACUUUUGGGCAGAGUUCCAUAGAUAUUGCUGCCUUCCUUCCCCCUCCAGGUUUUGGGCAGCAUUAAUAAAGAUCUCCUCAGAUUAGGGUGAUGUGGUUACACACACUGAAGCCCUUCUACCGCCCUCCACCUUGGGAGAUCAGUUUCAGAGGCUGAAAGCCACCCCUGUCCCUGGGACAUUUCUUACCUCCCUGCAAUACCAGCUCCCCCUCCCAUGUUGUUCCCCCAGGGGCCCAGACCCUGCACCCUCUUCUUUCAGGCAGUACUAACUCUUCCAAGGACCUGGGCGGUGUCCCGCAGUCCCCUAAGGCAGGUGAGGUUUUGAACGGGCUGAGAAGCAGUCUGGGGUUGAUGGAAGGAGAGUGGUGGGAGGUCAGGGCAAGGAUGGGGAGAGGCUUCCAGAGACAACCUUCCUCAGACUUGGGUUGAGAGACACAGAGGCGCAGAGAGGCGCAGUUGCCACCAGGCAAGAGAGAGGCCUCUAGGGACAAAGGAGGGAAAGGUGGGCUCUAUGCACUGUGGGAAGGAGCGCCAAGUGUGUGAGAGGCAGGAAGGUGGUCAUGUCUCUGUGACUGUGAGGGUGACAGUUCUGGUCUCUCUGUGUGAGCAUGGGGAAGCCCCCUAUGUUCCCUCACAGCACCCUCAGUUCUUAGACUGGGGAGAAGAGGCAGGGGACUGGUCUGGGACUUGAUGGUCCCCUUGGUAGCUGAGUUGGCUGGAAGGGGUCCAACGCCCACAGUCUGUCUGGUAAUGCAGCUUUGAGGCUUAGGUUUGGGAGGUGAAUGUCAACUCUCACCCCUGUGAGGUGGCAGCUUUGCUCUGUUGGCCUCCUCAGAGGCUAAAUAAAGAAAUGCUGAGAUCUAUAAACCACCCAGCCCAGAGAGAAAAAGGAGGGAGGAAGGGCAGCUCCCUAGAAAAAAAUCCACCCCCUCCCCACCACUAAACACAUUUUUAAUUGUCCCUUGGGAACAUUUGUACAUUUGACCAAAGCAAAUCUCAAAGCAGCAGCAGCAAAAUGAGUCAGAGGGGCUGGUGGUCCAGAGAGAGCUGGGGAUCGGAGAUGGGGAGGUGAGGAGAGGUGGCAGGCAUGUUUGGGAAGGUGAGAAACUUGGUUCCUUUCCCACCAUCUCUGUCAAGCUUUAGAAAGAAAGUGAGCAGGAGAAAUAAAGUUCCAGGGGAAAGAAAGAGAAGGGCAUAUAAAAGGCAAAUCCAACCCAGAAAGGAAAGAAAGUGAAGAAGAAAGAAAAAGGCAGGGAGGGGGGAGAGACUAUAAUAAAAGAGGGUGAAGGCGGCCCCAGGAGGCUGGGCCUCGUCCCAAACCAUCCGUCUUCAUUGUCUCCGUGUGUGCAAAGGCAACUCUGGCAUAAGGAAAACCCACUAUUGGAGCCGAGGCUUUAUUUUAUAUCCUAUACAUCAGGAGGGAGGCAAAGCUUUAUUUUCGCCAAGAGACAGAUAUUUUAUUUCUCUCUUACGGUUUUAUGUGUGAGAGAUGUCAGGUUGCCACAAUGGAUGGCUAAUGCAUAGGCAAGAGGAAGCCGUGUUGGCAUGCUGUGUGUCAUGGGGUCUUGUGGGGGUGAGCGGGCCUGGGAUUUAGGGCUGAUGGGACACUCUGGGGGAUUUCUGCUAAAACAUCUCUCUUCAUAAAUCCAGAAGCAUGGUCAGCUCAACAGGGAGAAGAAGGAGUUUUAGAGGGGAAAGAGUUGGGCUUAGUAAUAAACGAACACACAAAGGAACCGCUUACCUUCCAACAGCCUCGGGCAACAGGGGCACGACAGCCCCAUGGAAAUGCAGACACCCAUGUCCACGCACACAAGCGCCAUUCACAGGGAAGUAUUUUCCUGACACAAAAUCCAAUGUCAGUUUCCUUUCCUUUCCCCGUUUUAUAUUUUUCCACCCCCCUUCACCAGAAAUCUUUUUUAACCUCCUCAGAGCCUUGGGGGAAAAGAGCCAUUAAUUUGCAAAUCAUCUGAUCUGUGAAAGGAUCAAGAUGCCUGGUUUUCACUGCUAAAUCCAACGUCUUGAGUGGACACAGAGGCACACACAAGCCCGUCAUGCUGCCAACCCUUGGGAGCAUAGGUGCCAGAUCUGAAGCCAAGAAAAGACUCCCUCUCCUCCCGGGACCUGCAGCUGAAUUAAGCCUUAGAUUCCAAACUGCAUAAUGUUCAUAUUUUUAAACCUGGAGAGAAGUGGAGAGAUGAAGGGGGACAAAAAGAGGGGGAACUUUGUUAAUUAACGUGUUCCAUUCAGGACUUAGACUAAUUGUCUUCCCCACUUCCAGCCGCCCCCCAACCCAAGCCAUUUCUUACAGGAGUUGCUUUUAUUCAUUCUCAUGUUCUACUUUUCUCAUUUUUGGAUUAAUAUCUACUUGUUUAAUAUCUACUGUGGCGCAAAAACGUGACCACGCUCUUUCUUUUCAGAGGGUUGGAAGCAGCACAGGAUUCCUAGACAAGGAGCUUGGAGACUUGGCUACACUGUCCCUGGCCAUUAGGGAAGACGUUUAGCCUUUCCGGGCCUCAGUUUUCUCAUCUGUAACAUGAGGGGAUUCGGCUAAAUGAUUACUGAGGUCCCUUCCAGCUCCGACCUCCUCUGGCCGAAUGAGAUAAUGUGUGAAAACACUUUGUGAACACUAACACCGGACAGAUGCCAGGGAUCAUUAUUGCAAUUCUAAUCAAUCCUCUUUUCUCCACAUGGAUCUUGGCUGUUUAGUGCCAGCAAGCAGGCUAAAGGGGGCUGAAAGCAAGAAAGCUUAGCGGACAUGGAAAAGCUCUGUGCAGUGGGAGGGAAAAAAAAAACCCUGCAUCUCCAGAAACAUUGUGUCUCUGUGUGCCCCCUGAGGCCUAGUGGGAAGGGUUGGGGAGGAGGAGGCCUGACUUGGUAUGACCCAUUUUGGUCUACAUGGCGGCAGAGAGUGUAUUUCUUCAAAAGCAUUGUUGGUCUCCAAGUGACUGACAUGGGAACCUGAUGGGAAGGCGAUUUGCAAUUGUUUUUUUCCAGGAAGAAAGAAAGAGCAAGGUGUAGCUGAUUAGCAAGUUAAUUAUUUCAGUACCCCAAGGGUUCCAGUGUGGUGGAGACAGGCCCUGGCACCAGGCUCUGGAGACCCCACUUCCUGACUCCAGCGGUGCGAAGAUGAUACAAUACUUUCUGGUGCUGACAUUCAGCUGUCUCCCAAACAGGUUGGCUGAUAGCCCUGCCCGUCCUUGAAGAGGGGCCGGGGGCUGUCUAAAAAGACAGUUCUGAUGACUGCUUCGUUGGUAGUGGCAGAGGAUUUGGGGCACAGGGGUGGAGUUAAGUCCAAUUGCUGUUUAAAUUGGACUUGGCCUCCUUUAUUUUACAGUCCUAAGGGGUCUCCAUAGGAGAAAAAGUAGCGAGAGAAACUUAGAACACAGGAAAGCAAGCAUAGGGAAGAGUUUCUUGUCUCAAUCUUGGUACUGCCGUGCCAAAAUGAAGCCCAGGGAUGGUUAAAAACGGAUCCUAGGGACCGGGCACCUUGGCUCAGGCCUGUAAUCCCAGCACUUUGGGAGAUCAAGAUGGGAGGAUUGCUUGAGGCUAGGAGUUCGAGGCCAGCCUGGCCAACAUAGUGAGACCUCAUCUCCAAAAAUAAAAACUUAAAAAAAAAUUUAAAAAACAAAAACAAAAAUACAGAUCCUAGGGAACAGAGUUUUGAGGUUCCCUGUGGGAUCUUGGCCUGACUCUUGGGAGAUGAAGAAGUCCUUGGCAAGUUUGAAAAGAUCUACAAGUGCCAUCUAUUCAGGGGACUAAAUGUGAUUUCUUUUCACUGCCCAGUGGCUGGUAAGGAAGGAAGCAUUUUGCAUUUUCAGCUUGUAGGAUGGUUAUUGGUGGUCCUACCAUCUUGCUCAUGUUCAAGUUUGGUCGUGUAGAUGAAGAGCCCAGCUUCCCAGCUCUUAGUUUUUCUUUUCCCUCAGGCCAUUCAUAAUUUAGCUAACAUUCUAGUCCAUUGACCAGCAUGCAUUUUGAAAGGUGAGCUGGCAAGCCUGUAACUGUGUGCAAGGUUGUUCUCAUUUAGGCUCCAGGAAGGAUAUAGUUUCCCCAUAAGAAAGAAAAGUGGGCGAGAGGCUGAGGUGGGAGGUCACUUGAGUCCAGGAGGCAAAGAUUGCAGUGAGCUGAGAACCAUGCCACUCACUGCCUUCCAGCUUGGGUGACAGAGUGAGACCCCAUCUCGAAAAAAAAAAAAAAAAAAAAAGAAAAAGAAAGAAAGAAAGAAAUAAAAGCAAGGAACUAUUUAUAUUAAUCUUUUAAUGAAGGAUUUACCAAUCUGAUAAGUACGAAGCUCCUUUUCCUCCUUCUGAAUGAGUAACUAUGUCAGUCAAUGUUGAGGGUCUGCAGAACCUAUACAAAAAUGCUUUCUUUGGUCUCUCAGUUUUAACACAUGCUGGGGCUUGGGCCUGCCUCUGACAGACUGGGGAGGAGUAGACACAUUCCAGAGACCAGGUCUUGGAGUGUUAUCUCUUCCCCCACCUCAAAUCCUCACCCUCCACUUUAUCUGUCUUUAGCACGAAUGCAGAGACCUCCUAGGGAAGUGUGAAGGGAUGGGUUUUCGUCAGGUUUAGGGAAGGAAGGGGAAUAAGAUGAGCCCCAAAGAAAGAUGGGGGUCAUUUGGAAUUUUUAGAUGACACUCUUUUGUUAUACUUUUCUUGUAUUGUGUAUUAUGUCCUACAAAUCGUGCAUUUGUUACAGUAAGCCACAGUGUGUAUGUGUGUUUGCCAAGUGCUGCUUGGCCAAAACAGUGUUAAAUAAAAUUGUAAGAAAUGCUACCAGGGCCUUGCAUGGGUUAUUUAAUUCUAUCAAUGAUAAACAACGUUAAUGUGUAGCAUCUCAG